CACAGCCUACCGUUGCCCGCAGCGGAGGUGGUCAUCCCGCCAUCUACCUGUUCAUCUGAGUGACAGAGGGGUCUGCUGCCGCCGCCACAGUCGCGCCGCUGCCGAAGGGUCCGGAAGGGUCCGGAAGGGUCCGGCACAGACGGGCGGACAACACCCCAAAAUGGCGCCGGCUGGAUCGUUCUAGAAAAAAAACAACCGCAUUGAGUGACGCGAUGUUGCCCCUUGUGGUAGCGUGCAGAAGCAGGCGCCAUGGGCACCGUGCUGACUGAAGCAUGCCGCCUUGUACACUUGCCUUGCGGGAUCCGCGGAGAGGUGAAGGUGGGGUGGAACCCUGGGCCUUUUCCCUGCAGAACAAAGCCAGUGGGCUGGACACGCAGUAAGCAGGCCAGCCUGCUUUGCCCCCGAUGGACCUACAGGGAUGCCUUGUCCAAGUCGAGAUGCUCAGGGCUAGCAGCAGGAGCCACGCGGUAGCCUGGGGGAUUGCUGACCAGAAAAAGAAGUGCCACAUGGGCCCAGCUGUGGAAUCAGAUGGAAAACCAAAACAGCGGGCUGUGGCCACAAAGGAAGAGCAAGACGGCAGGCGGCCACUGUCCUCCCCCCCCACCCCCUUUGUUGUCACACUGAUGGCUACAUGAGCUCCAUGGGGCCAGCUUCCAUUUGGGCCUUCACUGCACCUGGGAAAUGAGCACCGAUACCUCCACCUUUCCAUUUGGAGACAUAGUUCUCACCCUCCACCCCCACUGCCAGCACCCCCCCCCCCAAAUUGAAGACUUGCCACCGCCACCCAUCACCCCAUCUGGGGAAGUGCACACUCGUGCCUAGACCUCAUUAUGCCUCCGUCUUGUAUUUGGGCAGUCACUCUCCAUACAGUUCUGUCUCCCAGGAAUUAACCACUAGUGCCUGCAUCUUGUGUUGUUACCUUUGGGGGAGGAGGAGAAUUACUCCCAGCUCUACACAGGCUUUGCCACAGCCUGUGUUGGUCCUGGGGGGCUGGGGGGAAUAGGCUGCACUUGGGGCAUCUGUUGUCUUUGGGCCAGGGAGGUUUAUGGCCUAGAUCUUCCUCUGGAAUCACAUCUGGGAAGCCACAGCCUGUGCUUCUAGCACCUGGAUUUGCCUUUUGGGAAUCACCACUCAUGCCUACAUUGCCUUCUGGGAAUUAAUACCUGGGCCUCCCAUCUCUUUAGAGGGAGCCACAGCCUCUGUGUUGAUCCUUGGGGGGAGGGGAGCUACACUUGGGGCCUCUGUUGCCUUGGAGGCCAGGGAAGUUUAUGGUCCGGGUCUCCCUCUGGAGCCAUGUUUGGGGAGCUAUAACCUGUGCUUUUAGCACCUCGAGUCACCUUGUGGAAAUUGCCUUCUGGGAAUUACCACCAGUACCUGCAUUGCCUUCUGGGAAUUACCACCAGUGCCUGCACUGCCUUCCGGGAAUUACCAUCAGUGUGGCCACUUCCUUUGGGAAUUACCAUCUCUUUAGAGGGAGCCACAGCCUCUGUGUUGGUCUUUGGGGGGAGGGGAGCUACACUUGGGGCCUCUGUUGCCUUGGAGGCCAGGGAAGUUUAUGGUCCGGGUCUCCCUCUGGAGCCAUGUUUGGGGAGCUAUAACCUGUGCUUUUAGCACCUCGAGUCACCUUGUGGAAAUUGCCUUCUGGGAAUUACCACCAGUACCUGCAUUGCCUUCUGGGAAUUACCACCAGUGCCUGCACUGCCUUCCGGGAAUUACCAUCAGUGUGGCCACUUCCUUUGGGAAUUACCAUCUCUUUAGAGGGAGCCACAGCCUCUGUGUUGGUCUUUGGGGGGAGGGGAGCUACACUUAGGGCCUCUGUUGCCUUGGAGGCCAGGGAAGUUUAUGGUCCGGGUCUCCCUCUGGAGCCAUGUUUGGGGAGCUACAACCUGUGCUUUUAGCACCUCGAGUCACCUUGUGAAAAUUGCCUUCUGGGAAUUACCACCAGUACCUGCAUUGCCUUCUGGGAAUUACCACCAGUGCCUGCAUUGCUUUCUGGGAAUUACCACCAGUGCAUGCAUUGCUUUCUGGGAAUUACCAUCAGUGUGGCCACUUCCUUUGGGAAUUACCAUGUGAGCUUCCCAUCUCUUUAGAGGGAGCCACAGCCUCUGUGUUGGUCUUUGGGGGGAGGGGAGCUACACUUGGGGCCUCUGUUGCCUUGGAGGCCAGGGAAGUUUAUGGUCCGGGUCUCCCUCUGGAGCCAUGUUUGGGGAGCUACAACCUGUGCUUUUAGCACCUCGAGUCACCUUGUGAAAAUUGCCUUCUGGGAAUUACCACCAGUACCUGCAUUGCCUUCUGGGAAUUACCACCAGUGCCUGCAUUGCUUUCUGGGAAUUACCACCAGUGCAUGCAUUGCUUUCUGGGAAUUACCAUCAGUGUGGCCACUUCCUUUGGGAAUUACCAUGUGAGCUUCCCAUCUCUUUAGAGGGAGCCACAGCCUCUGUGUUGGUCUUUGGGGGGAGGGGAGCUACACUUGGGGCCUCUGUUGCCUUGGAGGCCAGGGAAGUUUAUGGUCCGGGUCUCCCUCUGGAGCCAUGUUUGGGGAGCUACAACCUGUGCUUUUAGCACCUGGAGUCACCUUGUGGAAAUUGCCUUCUGGGAAUUACCACCAGUACCUGCAUUGCCUUCUGGGAAUUACCACCAGUGCCUGCACUGCUUUCUGGGAAUUACCAUGUGAGCCUCCCAUCUCUUUAGAGGGAGCCAAAGCCUCUGUGUUGGUCUUUGGGGGGAGGGGAGCUACACUUGGGGCCUCUGUUGCCUUGGAGGCCAGGGAAGUUUAUGGUCCGGGUCUUCCUCUGGAGCCAUGUUUGGGGAGCUACAACCUGUGCUUUUAGCACCUCGAGUCACCUUGUGAAAAUUGCCUUCUGGGAAUUACCACCAGUACCUGCGUUACCUUCUGGGAAUUACCACCAGUGCAUGCGUUGCUUUCUGGGAAUUACCAUCAGUGUGGCCACUUCCUUUGGGAAUUACCAUGUGAGCUUCCCAUCUCUUUAGAGGGAGCCACAGCCUCUGUGUUGGUCUUUGGGGGGAGGGGAGCUACACUUGGGGCCUCUGUUGCCUUGGAGGCCAGGGAAGUUUAUGGUCCAGGUCUCCCUCUGGAGCCAUGUUUGGGGAGCUACAACCUGUGCUUUUAGCACCUCGAGUCACCUUGUGAAAAUUGCCUUCUGGGAAUUACCAUCAGUGUGGCCACUUCCUUUGGGAAUUACCAUGUGAGCUUCCCAUCUCUUUAGAGGGAGCCACAGCCUCUGUGUUGGUCUUUGGGGGGAGGGGAGCUACACUUGGGGCCUCUGUUGCCUUGGAGGCCAGGGAAGUUUAUGGUCCGGGUCUCCCUCUGGAGCCAUGUUUGGGGAGCUACAACCUGUGCUUUUAGCACCUCGAGUCACCUUGUGGAAAUUGCCUUCUGGGAAUUACCACCAGUACCUGCAUUGCCUUCUGGGAAUUACCACCAGUGCAUGCACUGCCUUCUGGGAAUUACCAUCAGUGUGGCCACUUCCUUUGGGAAUUACCAUGUGAGCUUCCCAUCUCUUUAGAGGGAGCCCCAGCCUCUGUGUUGGUCUUUGGGGGGAGGGGAGCUACACUUGGGGCCUCUGUUGCCUUGGAGGCCAGGGAAGUUUAUGGUCCGGGUCUCCCUCUGGAGCCAUGUUUGGGGAGCUACAACCUGUGCUUUUAGCACCUCGAGUCACCUUGUGGAAAUUGCCUUCUGGGAAUUACCACCAGUAUCUGCACUGCCUUCUGGGAAUUACCACCAGUACCUGCAUUGCCUUCUGGGAAUUACCAUCAGUGUGGCCACUUCCUUUGGGAAUUACCAUCUCUUUAGAGGGAGCCACAGCCUCUGUGUUGGUCUUUGGGGGGAGGGGAGCUACACUUGGGGCCUCUGUUGCCUUGGAGGCCAGGGAAGUUUAUGGUCCGGGUCUCCCUCUGGAGCCAUGUUUGGGGAGCUACAACCUGUGCUUUUAGCACCUGGAGUCACCUUGUGGAAAUUGCCUUCUGGGAAUUACCACCAGUAUCUGCACUGCCUUCUGGGAAUUACCACCAGUACCUGCAUUGCCUUCUGGGAAUUACCAUCAGUGUGGCCACUUCCUUUGGGAAUUACCAUCUCUUUAGAGGGAGCCACAGCCUCUGUGUUGGUCUUUGGGGGGAGGGGAGCUACACUUGGGGCCUCUGUUGCCUUGGAGGCCAGGGAAGUUUAUGGUCCAGGUCUCCCUCUGGAGCCAUGUUUGGGGAGCUACAACCUGUGCUUUUAGCACCUGGAGUCACCUUGUGGAAAUUGCCUUCUGGGAAUUACCACCAGUAUCUGCACUGCCUUCUGGGAAUUACCACCAGUACCUGCAUUGCCUUCUGGGAAUUACCAUCGGUGUGGCCACUUCCUUUGGGAAUUGCCAUGUGAGCCUCCCAUCUCUUUAGAGGGAGCCACAGCCUCUGUGUUGGUCCUUGGGGGGAGGGAAGCUACACUUGGCGCCUCUGUUGCCUUGGAGGCCAGGGAAGUUUAUGAUCCGGAUCUUCCUUGGGAAGCUACAGCCUGUGCUUGUAUCAUUUGGAAUGAUGGUCUGCCUUCACCUGGAGCCAGCUUUCCAUUUGGGCCUCCAUUUCCUGUGGAGAACCAGUACCCAUGGCCCCAUCUUUUCAUUUGGGGAAUUGUCACUAGUCAUUCCAACUUCUAUUUGGGGAGGCACACCCCUUGCACCCAGCACCACAAAUUCCCCAUCACUCCUCCAUCUCUUAUUUGGGGACACACACCCUCCUCAAGCUUCUAGCUCAUUUGAGGGAAUAGCUACUUGUGUGUGUGCCUUACUCAUCACUAUUAUUUGUGCCUCUAUUUUUCAUCUGGGAAUCACUGUCCAUGCUAACGUCUCCUCACCUGGGAAUUGCCAUCCGUGCCUGCAGUGUGGCUUUUAGGAAUUCUCACCUGUUUCUAGACAUCCUUUUGGAAAUCGCCACCUUUUCCUCCAUUUGAGUUCUGGGGAAAGCUAUAGCCUGGGCCUCCCAUUAUGUGGAGAUACAGGCUGGAUGUGUUGCUUUCUUGGAAUUGAAUCAUCUGAACCAUCAUCUCCUUUUGGGAAUUACCACCUGGUCUACACAGGGAGCCACAGCCUGUGUGUUGGUCCUUGGGAGGGAAGGGAAGCUGCACUUGGAGCCCCAGUUGCCUUUGAGGCCAGGGAGGUUUAUGGCCUGGAUCUUCCUACAGCCUGUGUGCUUGUAUCCUUUGGAAUGAUGGUCUGCCUUCGCCUGGAGCCAGCUUUCAUUUGGGGGAUUCCCAUUUGGGCCUCCACAUCUUUUCAUCUGAAGAAUUUCCACCUGUUACUUCACCUUUUAUUUGGGGACAUGUGCGUGUGCACGCACACACAGUCCUCCAGCCUCUUAUCAUGUGUGCACCUUACACUGAGAAGCUUUGGGGAAAUCAUCACUAUGUCUGUGCCUCCAUGUUACCACCUGUUUCUGCAUGAUGGCUCUUGGGAAUUCUACAUAUGCCUCACUUCUUAUUUUAUGGGAAUUACCUCCUGGGCCUCUUUCUGGGUUUGAGAGGAGCUACAGUAGCCCAUGCCUCCCAUUAUGUGGAGAUACAGGCUGGAUGUUUGUUGCCUUUUGGGAGUUAAUCAUUUGUGCCUGCACCACCUCUGGGAAUUACUGCUAUGUCGCCACCUCCUUUGGGAGUUACCACCUGGUCUACAUGGGGAGCCACAGCCUGUGUUAGUCCUUGGGGGGAGGGAAGGUACACUUGGGGCCUCUGUUGCCUUGGAGGCCAGGGAAGUUUAUGGUUCGGGUCUCCCUCUGGAGCCAUGUUUGGGGAGCUACAACCUGUGCUUUUAGCACCUGGAAUCACCUUGUGGAAAUUGCCUUCUGGGAAUUACCACCAGUGACUGCAUUGCCUUCUGGGAAUUAAUACUUGGGCCUCCCAUCUCUUUAGAGGGAGCCACAGCCUCUGUGUUGGUCCUUGGGGGAGGGAAGCUACAGCCUGUGCUUGUAUCAUUUGGAAUAAUGGUUGGCCUUCACCUGGAACCAGCUUUGAUUUGGGGAAUUCCCAUUUGGGCCUCUAUCUUUUACUUGUGCCCUGGUCUCCUUUGAGGAAUUGCCAUUUGUUAUGAGAGUCACCUCUCCACGAGCCCAUCUUUUCUUUGUGGAAUCGAUCGCCAUGCUUCCAGCUCCUUUUGGAACCUGUAGCCUGGCCGUGCCUCUGUGACCGUCUGGAUCACCACCUGGGCCUCCAGUUCUGCUUUUGGAAUUACCACUUCUACCUCAGUCUUGGUUUGGGCGCAACCUCCCAUUAUCUAAAGAUACAAGUUGUAUGUCUGUUGCCUUUGGGGAACUGACCGCCUGUGCCUGUAUCUGGAGCCACCUUCUGGGGAUCACUAGCUGUACCUGCAUUACUGACCUACUAUCCAGGCAGGAAUUGCCACCUGAGGCUGUCUUAGGGUCAUCCUUUGCUGGAGUAAUUACUGCACAGGCCUGCAUUGGGCAUUCUCAGCUGUGGCCUUUUGGCAGGCCCCCCACUUUGAAGAGAUAUAGACUCUACUCCCUGUGGGGGGGACUAAGCCUGUGUCUCAAUCUUUGGGGUGAUGCAGCAAGGAAGGAGGUUUCUCUCACUGCAAAGAGGUACUGGCUGGCUCUCUUGCCACAGUGGGUACUCUGUCUCCUUUUAGGCAUUUCCACCUGUGGUAGGCUACAUUCCCCUUUGGGAAUUCAUUUGUCCUUUUAUCCAGAGCUAUCUGGGGGGAGGUUCUAGCCUGCACCUCUGUCUCCUUUUGGGGAAUGGUAGCCUGUGACUUUGGAGACAUCUCUGGGGAGCCAUAGCCUGAGCCUUCUGCUUACAUCACCUCUCACAGGGCUACAACUUGGCCUUCCAACAGGAGCUAUUUUGGCAGAGCUACAGCCCGAGUCUCUCCAUCAAGGAGGAGACACAGCCUGUAUCCCUACUUGCUUUGGGGAAAUAGCACCCCUCCCUGCAUCACCUUUUAGGGCAGUGCAACCUGUGCUUCCUUCUUCGGGGGAGCUACAGCCUGGGUCUUUGGCUUUGCCCAGGUACAGCCUAUAUCUCCAUAUCUUUUGGGGAAUGACCGCAUGUUGUGCCACCUUGGCUUUGGGGCAAUGCCAUCUGUGCCACUGUUGGGUUAUUAAGAAAUACAACCUGUGCCACCAUUUGGGAAAUAACACCACCAUUCGGUUAUUGGGAAAUAUCAUCUGUGCCACUGUUGCGUUGUUGGAAAAUACUGCCAGUGUUUGGGAAAUACUGCCACCAUUUGGUUAUUAGGCAGUGUCACCUUCACCACUACUUGGGAAACACCGUCUGUGCCAUCAUUUGGUUAUUGGGAAAUAUCGUCUGUGCCAAUGUUAGGUUAUUGGGAAAUAUUGCCUGUGCCAACGUUCGGUUAUUGGAAAUACCGCCUGUGCCAACGUUGGGUUAUUGGGAAAUACCGCCUGUGCCAACGUUGGGUUAUUGGAAAUACCGUCUGUGCCAACAUUUGGUUAUUGGGAAAUACCGCCUUGCCAACAUUGGGUUAUUGGAAGUACUGUCUGUGCCAACGUUGGGUUAUUGGAAAUACCAUCUGUGCCAACGUUGGGUUAUUGGGAAAUACCGCCUGUGCCAACAUUGGGUUAUUGGGAAAUACCGCCUGUGCCAACACUGGGUUAUUGGAAGUACCGUCUGUGCCAACGUUGGGUUAUUGGAAGUACCGUCUGUGCCAACGUUGGAUUAUUGGGAAAUACCGCCUGUGCCAACAUUGGGUUAUUGGGAAAUACCGCCUGUGCCAACAUUGGGUUAUUGGGAAAUACCGCCUGUGCCAACAUUGGGUUAUUGGGAAAUACCGCCUGUGCCAACAUUGGGUUAUUGGGAAUUAGCAUCUGUGCCAACGUUUGGCUAUUGGAAAUAAUGUCUGCCAAUAUUGGGUUAUUGGGAAAUACUACUUGUUGGGUUUUCAAGAAUAUACUGCCUAGGGCACUAUUUUGCCUUUGGCUGCAAUCUUGUUUACAAUUUCUGUCAGCCCUCCUUUUUUGGGGGAGGGGUAAGGUGAGGGUAUGUGAAAAGAGGUGGGGGAGGUGAUUUAGAGUCUAUUGCUCUGUUUUUAUUUUUUGUUUUUGCUCUUGGAGGCUGUAGCUCUUGCCUCACCUUAUGUUUUUUUUCUUUUUGCAGUGUCUGCCUCAUGUCUUGAAGAAAAAUCGUGCCUUCCUCCUAUCUUCUUGCCUCCUGAGCUCCUUCAUUUGCCUUUUCCUAAGAUGGUCAUCUAUGAGCACUCUAAAGGACUAGCUCGACACCUUUCCCAAAAUGCAGUGCUAAAUGGGAACUGAACACUGGAGACCAUGUGGGAACUGAUCUGGUCUCCAGAAAUGAGUCCAGGGAAAUCUCCUGAAAGAGACCUUAAGAGGUCCCAAAUGCAGCCUCUGCACCACAACCUUUGGAGGCUGUCCUUAUGCGUACUUGAUCAGACACUGAGACAUCUAAUCUGAAGAUCAGAACUGAUCUUCCUGACAGUGUGCAGACACAUGGGCCCAGAUUCCCCAAGCUCUGAAAGUUGGGGACGUCGAGGCCUGGAAAAGGAAUUUUGGGGGGACAAGUAAGCCCCAAUUGUCAUUUCUGCUCUAGUCCGGCUAUCUGAGAUGAAGUUGGCUGCUCUAACUACUUCAAAGAGUCACUCGGAGUCUGAGCUGUGGGGAGACUUACAGACAGAACUGAGCUGGGGCUCAGACUGUAGCUGGGGGACCCCGUGGCUGGAAACUUCGGGGACUGACUGCCUGGUUGUCUCCGAGGGCAAUGCCCUGAUUGUGAUCUGAUCAAAAUGUAUACAUGCUGGGUGACCUGGAAACGGCCCUGGGAGCAAGUGCUCACCUCGUCCUUUCUCUUUAGAAACCAAGACUCAGCACAGCUCAUAAAGCCUGGCAGCUCUGGUGCAGGCCCACAAAGGCUCCAGAAGAAACCCCAGCUGCCACAAAGAGAACAGGCAAGCAAGCUAGGCGGUGGGCUAUGACAGCCAGGAAAUCCCCAAACUCUGUCUCUUGUCCUGUUCCCCAAACAGGUCCUUCUUUAUGGCAGCACGCUCUCCCCAGGGAAUGGAAUCUCCUGCCUGAGGGAUCAGGUGGAGGCUUUGGACCUUUGAAGCUAGCAGGGAAUUCAGGUAUCUAUGUGACACCUGGGGUAGCAUGGGACUCAGUUGUACUGUUCACCUCCUCUGUUCUCUUUAUCACACCCUGAAAGUGGCCAGCAAUAAACCUCUGUGUGGCAGAAA